AACGAACGCUGGCGGCAUGCCUAACACAUGCAAGUCGAACGAGACCUUCGGGUCUAGUGGCGCACGGGUGCGUAACGCGUGGGAACCUGCCCUUAGGUUCGGAAUAACUCCCCGAAAGGGGUGCUAAUACCGGAUAAUGUCUUCGGACCAAAGAUUUAUGGCCUUUGGAUGGGCCCGCGUUGGAUUAGCUAGUUGGUAGGGUAAAAGCCUACCAAGGCGACGAUCCAUAGCUGGUCUGAGAGGAUGAUCAGCCACACUGGGACUGAGACACGGCCCAGACUCCUACGGGAGGCAGCAGUGGGGAAUAUUGGACAAUGGGCGAAAGCCUGAUCCAGCAAUGCCGCGGGAGUGAUGAAGGCCUUAGGGUUGUAAAGCUCUUUUACCCGAGAUGAUAAUGACAGUACCGGGAGAAUAAGCACCGGCUAACUCCGUG
rnacentral:rRNA from 1 species